UUAGUCAGUCUAAGCUUUUUUGAUACUGAUUCUAGUCUAUUUAAACAUAUUUCAGUCCAAUCUGUUGUUUUACACUGUUCGCUGUCGAGUCAGCAGGUAAGGUUUAAGUGUCCAAGCAGUGAACAGCGUAGACCAUGGGUCUACACUGGUCCCAAAGAUCUGUACAAUUCUGACAGCCUCUAAGAGUUAAAUGGUUUAGUCAUUGAUUCUAGUCAUUUAUCAAUCGAAGUAUUGAUUUAUAUAUGUUUUGUGGAGAUUCUUGCCUGUUCUUGUUGUAACAGCAUUUUAUUUUAUAAUAGUUGUCAUGUACAUUUAAUUGUAAUACAACUUGAUAUUAUUACACAGUCUAUCUUAAAAUAGUGUGCAAUAAUAUCAUGUUUUAUUAUUAGAAAAUGUAUGCAUUUUGAAAGUUUUGUUUAAAACAUUUGCCAAAAAUAAAAUGUCUAAAUGUUCUUUGAUUCACUCUUUCACUGGGUUAUAUUUGCAAAGUCUAAAGAUGAACUGCUUCCCUGGUGAACAUACUGACAAUGCUCAAAAUUGCACAUAAUGUUGCCACCGCUGGGAGUCGAACCCAUGGCUUGCCCUUCAACAGGAUGCAUUCUAAAACUGAAAUACAUGUACCAUGGCUAAAAAUAACUGAUAAACAAUGCUGUUUCUUUGUCAAGCUUCACCUAUAUAUAUAUAGAUGUGAAAAAAUCACUUAGUCUUGAUUUAUUACAAUGAUGAUGUAUUUUAUGUUUUGAUGGCUGUCAAGCUAGCAGUUUUAGCUUAUAAGUGGCAGAAAGAUUGAAUCUAUAUAUCACACUGAAUUCUUAUUAAAAUAAUUCACCUGAAAUAAACUUGAAUAUUGGAUCAUUCUGACAUUUAAAAAAAAAAAAAAAUCCCUAUCUACCGACCCUUUUUUUUUCAGCAUGUUACAGGAAACAGACAUAUAUUUUUUUUAGGCCUAAACAAAAUGAACAAGCUUGCGGUGAUGUCACUGCUAAAAAUAAUCCAUUAUUUUGAUGAAUUUUACAUGUACGUUGGGUGAAAUUUAGUAGCUUUAAAUGUCACAAAGUGUCCAGAUAUUUCUUCUGGUUAUUAAAAUGGAAUAUUAGUUAGCUGCAGGUGAAAUAUCUAGAACCACAGAAAAUGAAGUUAGAUGUUUAAUUUACAGAGGUUAAUAGUGAUUCAGUGGCUGAAAGUAUAUAAUUGGUAAAGAAGAAAUAACAUAUAUUAUUAGGAGGGAAUAGCUAGCAAAUGUCAAGGCAUGUGGUCUGGAAUGUUAUAAUAUUAUCCUGAAUCUGAAUUUGACAGUAGUUUGGUUAAUUAGUAAGCCCUCACUGGUGGGUGGUGGGGGGAUAGUACUCAGUUUCAGUAUCAUAUUAUAGUACAUUUAUGUUAAGGUUCCCUGUUACAAAAUAAACAUGCACCAGAAGACUAGAAUGUUUGGUUAAAAAGGCUUAAAUUCAUCCCACAAGGGGCGUUGCCCCCUUGACCCUAACUGGGGGAGGACAUCCAGAUCCCCCGCCUACUUUUAGGAUAUUCCCUGCUACUUGAAUUAAUUUCUACACCCCUGACGAUUGUAUAACGAGGUCUUUCUCGAAGCUUUGUCGGAGGAGGCCGAGUUCUUACGAUUGUAACGAGUUGUUCCCCUUCGCAUAAUUGUUGUCAGUGUCAGUCAACUUUCGUUUUAUUGGAAAGGUGUACGGAAAACCUUUGACUGUUGAUAAAUUCCGUCCCUCGGCUGGAGCACGGACUUCGAUGAUGAAGCUGUUGAACAGGACAAGAAGAAUAGAGAAAUUCUAAAGGCUCCUAAGGCUCGUGAUGUGGUCAGGUGUGCCGAAUGCCAUAAACCCAGGGUUGUGCACAGUCCAAGUAAAACAGACAGAGAACAGGAUGCUUUACUUCGAAGGAUGAAAGAGGAGAAUCUGUACGUCUGUGGUGAUCCCAUGGCAGAUGAUUCAGGUCUGGUUACACUGAGGGCGAGUAACUGCACGUCAGAUGUUGAAAUUGCGUAUUACAGUUCAGGUUUCAGCAAAGUUGUGCCACCAGUAUGUUGUUAUUGUGGAACUGAAGAUGAACUAUUGGAUGACAAUUAUGUCUACAUUCAGGAUAUGUACACAAAAUUCUCCAAAGUGCGUCCACUAUGUAAAUUAUGCCAUGGAAAUGGCCGUGUUGCAAAAACUUGGGGAAAGAAAUUCAUUAAGAAGAGAAGGAUGUAAAAACAUUUAACUCAACUGCAGUGUAAUUAAUUACUUCACAUUCUUGAUUGUGUACAACAGUUAAAUUUAAUUCUGACAGAUUGUAUUGUUAUUGUCAUUGCUUAGUUUUUAGUCAUCUGUUGAUACAAUGUUUUACAUUUGUGAGCAUAUCAUGCUCUGUGGCAUUCAUUUUAUGUAUAAUGGUUCUAGUCAUGAGGCUCUAGUCAAUGAUUAAGUUUUGAUGUUGAACAGGAUUAUUAUGUUUAGGUUUAUUGAAAAUCUAGUCUCCUUAGUUUUAUAAAUGUUUGGUUUUAAGAGGUGAAACAUUUUACAAACUUGUCAAGUAUUAAAACAAUAGAUCAUUGAUACAUGUAUAUGUUUAGCUCAAACAUUUUAGUGACUUAAAAAUGUGCAGCUCAUUCAAGUUCUAUUUUUUCCAGGAGAGUCUGGAUUUUUAUUAUCUCAAUUUUGGUGAUUUCAUUUCAAAUUUUGUGGAUUUUAAACUUAAAUACUGGAAUUUAAGAUGAUUUUCUUUCAAAGUUUGUCAUUAAUGUUCUAUAUUUUCCAGGAGCCUAUCGAUUUGUAUGAUUCCAAUUUUGGUGAUUUUAUUUAAAUCUUUUUGGUUUUAGACUAAAAUACUGGAAUUUCAGAUGAUUUUCUUACAAAGAGUGUUUAUUGUUUAACUAAUCUCCUGGUGCCAAUUUCUCAAAACUACAUAAGUCUGUUAUAACAGGAUCAAGCUAUUCUGACUAUAUUUAUUCAUCUAUAUUUUGUGUAAUAUUUAGGUCUUUAAAAGUUUUUAUACAGUUUAUAGAAGUUAUAUGUCUGAUAAUAAGGAAACACUAAGUUUUAUUCAAUAAUUAAUAUUGCUGUACAAAAUAAGCUUCUUAAGCCUGUUAAGCUUAAGUUGUUUCGAGAAAUUGGGGUCAGAUUUUUAAAGGCAGAUUUCCUUGAAAUGCAUUUUAAAAAACUUAGCAUAUAUGGUGAUUGGGCAACUUUCAUUCACCUUUUUUAAGAAAAUGUGCACAUAUUUGGGUUAUGUUUGGAGAAUUGGCAUAAAUUGGAUGAUCAGAUUGUUUGAAUAAAAUGUUUUUAUUCUAAAAUGUCAAUUUUGUUACUUGCAAGUCAGCAUUUAUUAUACUGCAUUCAAUCAUAAAGAUGGAACGAUUAAAGAAAAUUGAUCGAACAAAAUGUACAUUGACUUGCUUUAAUAGUUGAACAUCAAAACUUACAUGAGCUUUUUUAUGUUCAUGUGGCAUUUGUACUAUGUUUAGGUGCAAAAAUAUAUUUUUUUUACCAGAUCGCCUGUCGCUCGCUCCAAUUAUGAAGGAAAACUAAAAAAAAAAAUUUUUUUUUUCGCUUGCUCGCUUCAUUUUUUUUCAGAAAAUUUCCGAUGACCUAGAAAUCAAUUUGGUAUGGCCUAAAGGGUAUUCAUGAUGAUGAAAACAAAUGGUUGAGUUUUGUAUGUUGGUCGACUGUAAAAAACUGACUAGCAUCAGGAAUUUUUAAUGUAUAUUAUAUAUAAUAUAGCAUUGGUGAUUAAUUCCUUAUAAUCAUUAUACCGAACAAUUUAUAACGUUUAUAUUGCAAACCGAGACGUUGGCGUUUUGAUCAAUAUAAAGAGGUUGUCGAUGUGAUUAAUACGUUACGGGCUUGAGCUCUACAAACCUCGUAGCUUUAAGUGUUGACCAAUGUCCAUUAAAUUGACCAAACAUCACGAACAAGCAUAAUUUUCUUCAUUUGGCCUAGCGACAAUGCCGGUUUAUGAGACUGCUGAAUCAUCCCAAUUAAUCAGAAAAGUAGUCCCAUGUAAACAAUUUGUUCUCAAUACUAGAUUUCAUGAACAUGGUAAAUAUAGUCAAUAAAGA